rnacentral:rRNA from 1 species
CCUUUGUACACACCGCCCGUCGCUACUACCGAUUGGAUGGCUCAGUGAGAUUUCCGGAUUGGCUUAGAAGAGUGGGAAACUACUUUUCAUAGCCGAGAAGCUACUCAAACUCGGUCAUCUAGAGG